CACAACCCCGGCCGCCCUCUCCUUUUCCCCUUUUCGUUCCCCAGCCCCGAGCUCUCCCUGACGACGCGAACCAAACCCGGGUGCCGCGGCUCUCCCCCUCUCCAGCCCCAUCGCCCUCCUCGUCCCCUCCACGGCACCUUUCUGUCCCUCCGUUUCCUGACGCGCUUUUCCUCGCGGAUGUCCCCACGUCCCUCGUUUCGUGUCCCCCUCCCUCCCCCGGCGCCGCGCGUUUCGCCUCCCCCCAAACUUGGCGUAGGUUUGGUGUGAGCUGAGGUUGCCGAUGGCCGCGUUAUCCCCCCAUUUUGGCACGAUUAAAAUGCGGCGAUUUUCAGUGCCGUCGUUAAAAAUACCGAACGCGAAUGCCGAGCGCGCUGCGUGUCCCGAGACUUCGAUUUGCCCCGGCGCACGGGGGGUCGUUUAACGCGCAAAGAAAAGCGACGGAUACCUUUUAGCGGGAGGUCAAAAGCGAUUAACCGGAAAAAAAAUGAGAAAAGAAAAAGAAAAAAAAAAGGAAAAAAAGGGGAAAAAAAGACAAAAAAAGAAACCCUUCAGACAGUCAGAAAAAGGCUGCAAUACCGCCGGGGGAAAGAAAAAAGAAACAACAACAACAACAAAACCCCCAACAAACAAAAAGUAAAGCAACAAACAACCGUCUUCCGAGCGGCUUUGGGUCCCGGCGUGGUUUCCUCCGGGCUGCGGGUGCCCCGUGCCGGUACCGCCGUAGGGACAUCGCGGGGACACCGCGGGGAGCGGCGGAGGGGCCGCCCGUGGCGGAGCUGUGCGGCUGCUCCGGGCGGGUCCCGGCGUCCCCAGAGCCGAACGGCUGCGGGGGAGUGCGGGGAUUUCACCGAUGGAAACUUUGCGGUGCGCUGAAAAUACGUAAACCGAAGAGACGGCGACGCGGAAAGUAACUCCCGGCUGCCUGAAAAGCGAGGGGGGAAAGAAAAAAAAAAAGAAAAGAAAAGAAAAAGAAAAAAGAAAGAAAGAAAAGAAAAGAAAAGAAAACAACCCGACGACCCGACGCAAAACUUUCAGGGGCUGUGAGUGAAUUCCGUUCGUUUCGCCCCGCAGCAUCGCACCGACAAACGCGCCUUGGGCCCCGACUUCGAGGGAGGGAAAUGCAAAAAAAAAAAAAAAAAAAAAAAAAAAAAAAAGAAUGCAAAAGCAUAAAAGAAAUUCGCGUUCGGCCAUUUUCGGCCAAGUUGACAACUCGAGCGACUUUUGACCGAGGCGUGGAAAUUGGGCGUGGAAACUGCGACCACCGCACCUGGCCUGGAAGCGGUGUCCCACCCCGCAGCCGCGUGGAACCGCCGCAAUGGGGGCAGCCGGAGGGGUUCGCACCAGGGGGGCAGCGCGAGGAUGGUCUGGGACAGUCGAGACGGUGCUAGGAGAGUGUUGGGACGGUCUGGGAGCGAGGAGCAUUGAGC
ensembl:lncRNA